CGCGGCGCCGCGAGCGGGUUGGCCAUCAGGGACCCCGAAGAGCUCUAAGAAGAGAGGUCUUGGUAGCAGAACAUGAACAAUGAAACCUCAGGUGCUGUAAUGUCAUAAGGUUGAGAAGGACUGGAGAGAAGGGGAUAUAGAUUCUCCCUCCUUCCCUGGAUGUAUCGUUACUCUGUGUAGCCUGCCUCCAUUUUUUGAUAUUUGACUGCUGACAGCUUUUUAAAGCCUCACCUCUCCCUUUUCCCCUUACGCCCCACACCUGAACAAGCUGAUGAGGAAGCCUGAAUGUUCUCUCCUUUGACAUCAGCAGGAGAUUCAAACCACACAAGCCCAUUCCCAUGGACAUGUGGGAACCCUCACCUUGGCCCCAUCCCCUAACCACGAUAAAAACCCA